rnacentral:rRNA from 1 species
UACAGAGGUCCCAAGCGUUGUUCGGAUUCAUUGGGCGUAAAGGGUGCGUAGGCGGCGCGGUAAGUCGGGUGUGAAAUCUCGGGGCUUAACUCCGAAACUGCAUUCGAUACUGCCGUGCUUGAGGACUGGAGAGGAGACUGGAAUUUACGGUGUAGCGGUGAAAUGCGCAGAUAUCAGGAGGAACACCGGUGGCGAAGGCGGGUCUCUGGGCCGAUACUGACGCUGAGGAGCGAAAGCGUGGGGAGCGAACAGG